rnacentral:rRNA from 1 species
GACGUAGGGCGCGAGCGUUGUCCGGAUUUAUUGGGCGUAAAGAGCUCGUAGGCGGUUUGUCGCGUCUGCUGUGAAAACCUAAGGCUCAACCUUGGGCUUGCAGUGGGUACGGGCAGACUAGAGUGCGGUAGGGGUGACUGGAAUUCCUGGUGUAGCGGUGGAAUGCGCAGACAUCAGGAGGAACACCGAUGGCGAAGGCAGGUCACUGGGCCGCAACUGACGCUGAGGAGCGAAAGCAUGGGGAGCGAACAGG